rnacentral:rRNA from 1 species
AGAGUUUGAUCAUGGCUCAGGAUGAACGCUAGCGGCAGGCCUCAUACAUGCAAGUCGAGGGGCAACAGGACACUUCGGUGUUGCUGGCGACCGGCGCACGGGUGCGUAACACGUAUGUAAUCUACCUUAUACUAGGGCAUAGCUCUCGGAAACGAGGAUUAAUACCCUAUAUUAUCUCACUAGCGCAUGCUAGUGAGAUG